rnacentral:rRNA from 1 species
GGAGGGAUCAUUAAAGAGUUCUAUAACUCCCAAACCCAUGUGAACAUACCUAACGUUGCCUCGGCAGGUCGCACCUACCUUGUAGCACCCUACCCUGUAGGGCCUACCCGGGAGAUGCGGGUAAGCCUGCCGGCGGCCCAUCAAACUCUGUUUAAUAUUGAAUUCUGAACAUAUAACUAAAUAAGUUAAAACUUUCAACAACGGAUCUCUUGGUUCUGGCAUCGAUGAAGAACGCAGCGAAAUGCGAUAAGUAAUGUGAAUUGCAGAAUUCAGUGAAUCAUCGAAUCUUUGAACGCAUAUUGCGCCCAUUAGUAUUCUAGUGGGCAGGACCGUUCGAGCGUCAUUUCGACCCUUAAGCCUUAGUUGCUUAGUGUUGGGAGCCUACGGCAACGUAGCUCCUCAAAGUUAGUGGCGGAGUUAGUUCACACUCUAGACGUAGUAAUUUUUUAUCUCGCCUAUUAGUUGGACUGAUCCCCUGCCGUAAAACCCCCAACUUAUCAAGGUUGACCUCGAAUCGGUUCAGACAAACUCGCUAAAUUGAAGCAUCUUAGUCAGCGAAGGAAAAGAAACCAACAGGGAUUGCCCUAGUAACGGCGAGUGAAGCGGCAACAGCUCAAAUUUGAAAUCUGGCCCUCGGGUCCGAGUUGUAA